AACGUAGGGGCCAAGCGUUAUCCGGAAUUACUGGGCGUAAAGCGCGUGUAGGCGGUGACUUAAGUCGGACGUGAAAGCUCCUGGCUCAACUGGGAGAGGCCGUUCGAAACUGGGUGACUAGAGGCUGGUAGAGGCGAGUGGAAUUCCCGGUGUAGUGGUGAAAUGCGUAGAUAUCGGGAGGAACACCAGUGGCGAAGGCGGCUCGCUGGGCCACGCCUGACGCUGAGACGCGAAAGCCAGGGGAGAGAACGGG
rnacentral:misc_RNA from 1 species